UACGUAGGGUGCGAGCGUUAAUCGGAAUUACUGGGCGUAAAGCGUGCGCAGGCGGUGAUGUAAGACAGUUGUGAAAUCCCCGGGCUCAACCUGGGAACUGCAUCUGUGACUGCAUUGCUGGAGUGCGGCAGGGGGGGAUGGAAUUCCGCGUGUAGCAGUGAAAUGCGUAGAUAUGCGGAGGAACACCGAUGGCGAAGGCAAUCCCCUGGGCCUGCACUGACGCUCAUGCACGAAAGCGUGGGGAGCAAACAGG
rnacentral:rRNA from 1 species